rnacentral:RNase_P_RNA from 1 species
UGGGUCGGCAAGACGGUCGCGUCAUCUGCUCUCGGGCGGAUGCCGAGGAACGUCCGGGCUCCACAGGGCAGGGCGGUGGGUAAUCCCCACCCGGAGUGAUCCGCGAGACAGUGCAACAGAGAGUAAACCGCCACGGGCGGGCGCCUUCGGGCGGGCGGCCGGGGUAAGGGUGAAACGGUGGUGUAAGAGACCACCAGCGAUUCGGGUGACCGGUCGGCUAGGUAAACCUCGCCCGGAGCAAGGUCAGACAGGGAAUGUUCGAGGCGGCCCGCCGAGUUCCCGGGUAGACCGCUAGAGGGCUGCGGCAACGUAGUCCCGAGAUAGAUGGCCGUCCAGCGUCGACAGCGCAAGCUGGGAACGGGGACAGAACCCGGCGUACCAGCCGGCCCAUUCG